GCGGGCCUAACCCUGCAAGUCGAACGAGACGGAUUGGGAGCUUGCUCCUGACAAGUCGAGUGGCAAACGGGUGAGUAACGCGUAGACAACCUGCCGCAAAGAUGGGGACAACAGCCCGAAAGGGCUGCUAAUACCGAAUGUUGCGCCCCUCCCGCAUGGGAGGGGCCCCAAAAAGGAUGCUCUGCCUGCAAGCCAUCGCUUUGCGAUGGGUCUGCGCCUGAUUAGCCAGUUGGCGGGGCAACGGCCCACCAAGGCGACGAUCAGUAGCCGGUCUGAGAGGAUGGACGGCCACAUUGGGACUGAGACACGGCCCAGACUCCUACGGGAGGCAGCAGUAGGGAAUCUUCGGCAAUGGACGAAAGUCUGACCGAGCAACGCCGCGUGAGUGAAGAAGGUUUUCGGAUCGUAAAGCUCUGUUGUAAGUCAAGAACGUGUGUGAGAGUGGAAAGUUCACACAGUGACGGUAGCUUACCAGAAAGGGACGGCUAACUACGUGCCAGCAGCCGCGGUAAUACGUAGGUGGCAAGCGUUGUCCGGAUUUAUUGGGCGUAAAGCGAGCGCAGGCGGAAAAAUAAGUCUAAUGUGCAAGCCCUCGGCUUAACCGAGGAAUUGCAUCGGAAACUGUUUUUCUUGAGUGCAGAAGAGGAGAAUGGAACUCCCGGUGGAGCGGUGGAAUGCGCAGAUAUCGGGAAGAACACCGGUGGCGAAGGCGGUUCUCUGGACCUUUCCUGACGCUGAGAAGCGAAAGCGUGGGGAGCAAACAGGAUU
rnacentral:rRNA from 1 species